CCCUUAGAUGUUCUGGGCCGCACGCGCGCUACACUGACGAUGGCAACGAGUUUUUCCUUCGCCGAAAGGUGUGGGUAAUCUUUUGAAACAUCGUCGUGCUUGGGAUAGAUCAUUGCAAUUUUUGAUCUUGAACGAGGAAUUCCUAGUAAGCGCGAGUCAUCAGCUCGCGUUGAUUACGUCCCUGCCCUUUGUACACACCGCCCGUCGCUACUACCGAUUGAAUGGUUUAGUGAGGACUCCUGAUUGGCGCCGCCGCCCCGGCAACGGAGCAGCGGACUGCCGAAAAGUUGUUCAAACUUGAUCAUUUAGAGGAAGUAAAAGUCGUAACA
rnacentral:rRNA from 1 species